AACGAACGCUGGCGGCAGGCUUAACACAUGCAAGUCGAACGCACCUUUCGGGGUGAGUGGCAGACGGGUGAGUAACGCGUGGGAAUCUACCCUUCUCUACGGGAUAGCUCCGGGAAACUGGAAUUAAUACCGUAUACGUCCUGAGGGAGAAAGAUUUAUCGGGGCAGGAUGAGCCCGCGUUGGAUUAGCUAGUUGGUGGGGUAAAGGCCUACCAAGGCGACGAUCCAUAGCUGGUCUAAGAGGAUGAUCAGCGACAAUGGGACUGAGACACGGCCCAAAAUGGUACGAGAGGAAGCAGUAGGGCAUAUUGCGGAAGGGGCGAAGGCUGGAAGGAGAAACGGCGCGUGAGUGAUGAAGGUCUUCGGAUGGGAAAACGCUGGGAUUCGGGAAGAACAAAUGUGGCAGUAACUAUGCACGGCUGGACGGUACCUAAUAAGAAAGCGACGGCUAACUACGUG
rnacentral:rRNA from 1 species